rnacentral:misc_RNA from 1 species
GACCUCCAUAGAAGAAUCCACAGCUUCUCUUUCAUAAAAAUGGCGGAUCUUAGCUCACAAUCUCAGCUCAUCCCUAACCUCCCAGACGACAUUGCCUUACAGUGCUUAGCUAGAGUUCCACGUUCCCAUCAUCCCGUUCUCUCCCUCGUCUCCAAAUCUUGGCGUUGCAUCCUAAGCUCCACUGCACUCUACACCACCCGAUCAAUCCUCCGUACUACUGAAACCUUCCUCUACCUUAAUAUCCGUGUAAACUCCACUUUCCACUGGUAUACUCUCUUCCACAACCUUACUUUCACAAACCCAGAAAAACCCAGAAAGCUUUUUCCACUUUCUUCAAUACCCACUAAGCCGAUUGGACCGGCUUAUGCAGUUUUAGGCUCAAGAAUAUAUGUGAUUGGUGGGUCUAUUGGUGAUAUUCCAUCGAAUAACGUGUGGGUUUAUGAUUGUAGGUUGAAUUGUUGGGAAAUGGGCCCCAGAAUGAGAAUUGGUAGGGAGUUUGCAGCAGCUGGUGUUGUGAAUGGGAAGAUUUAUGUAAUGGGUGGGUGUGUUGUUGAUAAUUGGGCCAGGUCGAUGAAUUGGGCUGAGGUUUUUGAUCCAAUGACGGGGUUGUGGACUGCGUUGCCCAGUCCGAUUGAAGUUAGGGAUAAGUGGAUGCAUGCUAGUGCAGUUGUGAGUGAGAAAAUGUAUGCAAUGGCGGAUAGGGGAGGAGUGGUGUAUGAUGUUGGGGGAUGUGAAUGGGGGAGUGUGUCG